CACAAAUUCUUCGGGGGUUUACCGGCUUAUUUAUUUAGAUUACUAUUUUCAUUUUGUUGACGUUCUGCUUUUGCAUUUAGAUUACGCAUUGUGAUUUGUUAGAAUACGUAUUAAUGUAAUUAAUUAACUGACGGUGUUAUCGUGUUGUUCAGCUGUAAAUUGAGUUUAUUUGAGAAUAUUCCUGCCAUAAUGUCCAUCAUCUCGUCAGAUGAAGAUGAAAGCAUCGCAAUAAAUGAACCGCCACAAAAAAAAUACAAAAAUAAAAUGAAAGUCUUUCAAAAUUCUUGGUUGGAAAAUCCAGAUUAUAAAAAUUGGUUAAAACCAGUUAAAAGUAAUAAUGAAAAAUGCAGAUGUUCAGCAUGUAAUGUUACUUUAGUGUGCGGAAAAUCCGAACUAGAUAAACAUAAGAAAUCCCAAAAACACAUUAAUAUAAUGAAUUCUGCAAUGUGUACACCUUCAGUUUCCACAUUUAUCAAAGCUCCAGAUGCCCAUGACCAAGUUAAAUCAUUGGAAAUAGCAAUAUCUUAAUUUUUUGCAGAGCAUAAUAUAGCAUUUCAACAUGUGGACCACCUUACUAAAAUUCUUAAAGCAUAUAUACCAGAUUCCAAAAUUAUAAAAGAUGCAACUCUCCAUCGAACCAAGUGCACGGAAAUAAUUAAAAAUGUAAAGUAGAAACUGAAGAGCUUAUUGAAAUUUUACGUAAGCAGAAAUUUUCAAUACUUCUUGACGAAUCAACUGAUAUUAGUGAUACUAAAUUAUUAUGCCUUUUGGUACGAUAUGCAGAUGAACAAUUCAAAGUCUGUACAAGGUUAUUAGAAGUAAUAAAACUAGAUGCUAAGGAUUGCUCUGCAGCUGCUUUGUUUGCAGCAGUAAAAAAAUGCUUCAUUGACAAGGGCAUACCUUUUAAUAAUAUUAUUGGUGUAGCAUCAGAUGGAGCUGCAGUAAUGGUAGGAAAAAACAAUUCUUUCUUUUCAAGGGCAAAAGAGGAAGUUCCUCAUGCUUUAUUAUUGAGAUGCAUAUGCCACAUUAGCGCAAUUGUGGCUAGCAAAGCGUGCGCUGAAUUGCCACGGAGUCCAGAGGAUUUAAUUCGCAAUAUUGCCAACUACAUUUCUGGCAGCGCGAAGCGUUGCGCAGUUUUAUGCAAAUUUCAAGAAUUUUUUCACAAAGUAAAAAAUAAAAUAUUAAAACUAUCAUCAACGAGAUGGCUUUUUCUGCAUGAGUGCGUUAAAAGAAUUCUCGAAAACUGGGACGUUUUGGAACAUUAUUUCCUUCUAGCAGUUGCCGAAGAUCAAUUAAAAAUAGCAAGCACUAUCUUAGAGGACAUGAAGAAUCCUUUUAUUAAGGGUUAUUUAUUUUUUUUUAGCAUUUGUGUUAAAUUAUUUUAAUUCAUUUAACGCGCUCUUUCAAAGUCGUGAUAUUGUGAUAGAUCAAUUGUACGAACGGUGUUGCACAAUUUUAAGGCAACUAUCGCAAAACUUUUUAAAACCCCAAUUUGUCUAUAAAUGUGUAACCAUUAAUUUGAAACACCCAGAACACUUACUUCCCAUUGAAAAUAUUUGUUUGGGUGCUGCUUGUAUGGAACAUUUAAAAUACACAUACAAUCCAAAGAUUUAGUUCACGAGUUUCGUCUUAAAUGUCUGAAUUUUUAUUUAACUGCCACUCAAGAACUGAAGGAUCGCAUACCGGUACAAAACUCCAUAUUUAGAGAAUUUCAAUUUUUAAGAUCUGAUGUUUCAUUGGAUAUUCAGCGCAGAGAGAUGGAAGGGGUUAAGAUGUUAGAGCUAUUGAUUAUGCAAUACAAUAAUUUAAUUGAUGUUGACAAACUCGAUUUUGAGUGGCAGAGUUUACCCUUUCAUUUUCCUGAAAAUAAAAAGAAUGAACUCGUCAAGUUACCCAUAGAAAUAUUUUGGAAGGAAGUUAGUGAAGCAACGGAUUUUGAUAAAAAACCUGUACUUAGUAAUUUAAGUAUUGUCCCUAAAUUAAUUUUUUUCUAUAGUAACAGAUGUGAAAAAUAAGAAAAGAAACCUUUUAUCCGAUGAUACCUUAAAUGGUGUAAAAGUCUUUCGAAGCUCCAUGCAAUCAAAAAAUAUUGAUUGUACAAAUUUACAAGUUACUAAAGCACAUUUGAAUUUACAUAAUCAAAGUUUGUACUCUUUUAAAACUAAAAAAUAAAAUAAAAUUUUUCCAGAAUUAUAUUUGUUUGUU